rnacentral:rRNA from 1 species
UUCCGGUUGAUCCUGCCGGACCUGACUGCUAUCGGAUUGAUACUAAGCCAUGCGAGUCUUUGUAGUAAUACAAGGCAUACGGCUCAGUAACGCGUAGUCAACCUACCCUAUGGACAAGAAUAAUCUCGGGAAACUGAGCAUAAUUCUUGAUAGAUCAUAAUACCUGGAAUGGUUUAUGGUUAAAAUGAUUCGUCGCCAUAGGAUGGGACUGCGGCCUAUCAGCUUGUUGGUGAGGUAAUGGCCCACCAAGGCGAUUACAGGUACGGGCUCUGAGAGGAGAAGCCCGGAGAUGGGUACUGAGACAAGGACCCAGGCCCUAUGGGGCGCAGCAGGCGAGAAAACUUUGCAAUGUGCGAAAGCACGACAAGGUUAAUCCGAGUGAUUUCUGCUAAAGGAAUCUUUUGUUAGUUCUAAAAAUACUAGUGAAUAAGGGGUGGGCAAGUUCUGGUGUCAGCCGCCGCGGUAAAACCAGCACCUCAAGUGGUCAGGAGGAUUAUUGGGCCUAAAGCAUCCGUAGCCGGCUCUGUAAGUUUUCGGUUAAAUCCAUGUGCUCAACGCAUGGGCUGCCGAAAAUACUGCAUAGCUAGGGAGUGGGAGAGGUAGACGGUACUCGGUAGGAAGGGGUAAAAUCCUUUGAUCUAUCGAUGACCACCUGUGGCGAAGGCGGUCUACCAGAACACGUUCGACGGUGAGGGAUGAAAGCUGGGGGAGCAAACCGGAUUAGAUACCCGGGUAGUCCCAGCUGUAAACGAUGCAGACUCGAUGAUGCAUUGGCUUAUUGCCAAUGCAGUGUCGCAGGGAAGCCGUUAAGUCUGCCGCCUGGGAAGUACGUACGCAAGUAUGAAACUUAAAGGAAUUGGCGGGGGAGCACCACAAGGGGUGAAGCCUGCGGUUCAAUUGGAGUCAACGCCGG